CCCCUAAUGACGCUGCGGCAUGCCUUACACAUGCAAGUCGAACGGCAGCACGGGGGCAACCCUGGUGGCGAGUGGCGAACGGGUGAGUAAUACAUCGGAACGUGUCCUGUAGUGGGGGAUAGCCCGGCGAAAGCCGGAUUAAUACCGCAUACGCUCUACGGAGGAAAGGGGGGGAUCUUAGGACCUCCCGCUACAGGGGCGGCCGAUGGCAGAUUAGCUAGUUGGUGGGGUAAAGGCCUACCAAGGCGACGAUCUGUAGCUGGUCUGAGAGGACGACCAGCCACACUGGGACUGAGACACGGCCCAGACUCCUACGGGAGGCAGCAGUGGGGAAUUUUGGACAAUGGGGGAAACCCUGAUCCAGCAAUGCCGCGUGUGUGAAGAAGGCCUUCGGGUUGUAAAGCACUUUUGUCCGGAAAGAAAACCUCUGGGUUAAUACCCCGGGGGGAUGACGGUACCGGAAGAAUAAGCACCGGCUAACUACGUGCCAGCAGCCGCGGUAAUACGUAGGGUGCAAGCGUUAAUCGGAAUUACUGGGCGUAAAGCGUGCGCAGGCGGUCCGCUAAGACAGAUGUGAAAUCCCCGGGCUUAACCUGGGAACUGCAUUUGUGACUGGCGGGCUAGAGUAUGGCAGAGGGGGGUAGAAUUCCACGUGUAGCAGUGAAAUGCGUAGAGAUGUGGAGGAAUACCGAUGGCGAAGGCAGCCCCCUGGGCCAAUACUGACGCUCAUGCACGAAAGCGUGGGGAGCAAACAGGAUUAGAUACCCUGGUAGUCCACGCCCUAAACGAUGUCAACUAGUUGUCGGGUCUUCAUUGACUUGGUAACGUAGCUAACGCGUGAAGUGAC
rnacentral:rRNA from 1 species